rnacentral:sRNA from 1 species
UUACAAAAUUGCCGAAGACAGCAGGUGCCAUUAAGGCAUAAACGCAGAACCUGCCGAGGGAAUUUACAAAACAGAUGAAUGUUUAUGUAAAAAGAAUUUUCUCCCUCUGUCUGCGUGGCAGAGGGAUUUUUUAUG